rnacentral:rRNA from 1 species
UACGUAGGGUCCAAGCGUUAAUCGGAAUUACUGGGCGUAAAGCGUGCGCAGGCGGUUGUGUAAGUCAGGUGUGAAAUCCCCGGGCUUAACCUGGGAAUUGCGCUUGAAACUAGCGGGCUUGAGUGCGGCAGAGGGGGGUGGAAUUCCACGUGUAGCAGUGAAAUGCGUAGAGAUGUGGAGGAACACCGAUGGCGAAGGCAGCCCCCUGGGUCGACACUGACGCUCAUGCACGAAAGCGUGGGGAGCAAACAGG